AUGAGGGCAGGGAUUUUUAAAAAUAACACAUUCCCUCUUUCAACAUUUUAUUACGGAAAAUUGCAAGCACACAGAAAAAGUAUAAUUGCUGUUAACACCCACUACCUCAGUUUAACAAUUGUUUUUUGUUUUUUUUUUAAGAUUUUAUUUAUUUAUUUGACAGAGAUAGAGAGAGCCAGCGAGAGAGGGAACACAAGCAGGGGGAGUGGGAGAGGAAGAAGCAGGCUCCUAGCAGAGGAGCCUGAUGUGGGGCUUGAUCCCGAAACGCUGGGAUCACGCCCUGAGCCAAAGGCAGACGCUUAACCGCUGUGCCACCCAGGCGCCCCACUCUUUUUCAUUCUUUAUUCCACUUGAUCCAGUCUGUUGAUGAUCUGUGUUGCAUUUUUUCAUUUCAUUCUUUGUAUUCUUCAGCUCCAAAAUUUUUUUUUGGUACUUUUUAAUGACCUCUCUGUUAAAUUUCUGGUUUUGUUUGUGUAUAUUUUUCCCUGAUUUAUUGAAUUGUCCUUCUGUGUUUUCUUGUAGCUCACUGAGCUUCCUUUAAGCAACUGUUUUGUUUGAGAGAGAGAGAGAGAAUGAGCGAGGCAGGGAGGAGCAGAGGGAGAGGGAGAAGCAGACUCCCCGCUGAGCAGGGAGCCCAACGUGCGGCUCAGUCCCAGGACCCUGAGAUCAUGACCUGAGCUUCUAAAGGCAGAUGCUUAACCAACUGAGCCACCCAGGGGCCCUUGAAUUCUUUAUCAAGCAAAUCACAGAUAUCCUUUCUUUGGGGUCAGUUACUGGAAAUUAUUGUGUGCCUUCGGUAGUAUUCUGUUCCCUUGAUUUUUCACAUUCCUUGAAGUCCGCAUUGUGUUCUCAUUUGUAGAAGCAGUCACCUUACCCAGGCUUACUGACUGCCUUCAGGUGAGAAAUACCUUCCAUCAGCUUUGUUAGGGGUUCUGAGGCUUUCUCAGACCUUUUCUGUGGAUACACCUGCUCCACACUUCUUGUUCCCUUGUGGGGGGAGAUGUUUUUUAAGAUGAUAUGCCUCCUCUUGAUCCUGCAAAGCCAGACCAAGUGCUGACUGCCUCCCAUUUGCUUUCCCUUGGGUUGUGCUGCUUGCUCGAGUUUGCGUGCCUUCUUCCAGGCCCACUGAGUCAGCUGACUUUCUGCGCAUGCUUACUAGCCACCUUCAAAAACUCACUCUCACAGCCCUCAGAGGUAUCCAAAGGGAGCUAGCCACAAAAUGGGCCUGGGUGUGUGGGUGAGGCGUGCAGGGCACUGGGAUGCCCAUGGAUCAGUUGAGGGGAUCCACAGGCAAGGCAAUGGG
rnacentral:lncRNA from 1 species